CAUUUAUGUAAAUGAUGAAUAUAAUCCCCUCUUAUUGUGAUUAAUAAACUGCUCAAUUACAUUCAUCCGCACCGUCACGAAUGCGGAGACAUGCACUUGCAGAUUCAGAGUUUAAUAGGAGUUCAAACCAACCACAAACGUCAUUAAGCAUAGGGCACGGACACACAUAACAUGACGACCUGAAAGAAACAAAGCUAGACACAGAGUGCUGUACAAACAGUGAUUUAAAUACACAGGUGCUCGUUAAUCGGAAUGAGAGUCAGGUGCGGCUGGUCACGUGACCGUGAUGCAGAGGUGAGGUGGCUGCUGGGAAUUGAAAUCCCUAGUUCCUCAUGGAGUUUCAUAACACCCAUAUUGCAAACACUCCAGCCUAGACACUUAGAUAAUAAUUUAACAAAAACUAAUAAAAAAAUUUUACUCAGUAUAUAGUUAUUAAGAAUAUAUUAUAUAUCUUUUUAGCUGUUUUAAAUGAAAUUAAAUCUGAAUCUCUAGUUAAACUUCUACUUUUUUUGACACUUUUGAAAGCAGUUUUUGAUGUUCAUAUAACUGAAUUCACAUUGUAUAAAAACUACUUAAUGUAUUAUUUUUUAAAAUAUUUGUAAAUAGUUUAUGAAACUAUUUAACUGGUGAGGCUGGUUAGGAAAUGACUUUUUAUAACUGUAAUAAUGUAAUUGAUGACAAAUACUUUGGAUGCUAACAGGAAAUCUGUUUUAAUUCAUUGUUGAUUAUUUUCUUCCCAAAGUGUUUUAUUCCUUACUGAAUCUGUCACUGAGCUCCUCCGCUUCUGUUGUAUUGUAUAUAAUGCUCCAAGUGUCCAUGUCUUUUAGCAGAAAUGUGCAACAGCAGUUUAUUUUCAAUUGAGGUCCAAGUUACUGUUAUUUUACAUUGAAUGGGAAGUCUGUUUAAACUAAACCAUCUAUGCCUAACAUUCCUAUGAAUUUGUAGUGUAUACAGUAACAUUUUUGGUGUCUUCAGUCAGCAACAUUUAGCAAAACUGACCUUAUAAUCAUCCACUCAUCUAUACACUGAGCAGCCUGUGGCUGUAGAUUUAAUACAUCUAUGGUGGUCAUGGACACUCCCUAUUCAAAUAGAGUUGGGUAUAAACAGCAUGUUCUUGGCUGUUCUAGUUUCCAGUGAGCUCUGUGAUAGAUAACACUCCCAUACAUUUUAAAUCUGGGUGAAGCAGAACUAAGAGAACAAUGAUUUUAGGAUAUUGUAUUUUAUUUGUGCUAAUAUCAUAUUCUCAUGGACAGUCCCUGACCUCCUCUGCUUCUGUGGUGAAGAGACCUGGAGAGUCAGUCACUCUGUCCUGUACUGUCUCUGGAUUCUCAAUGAGCAACUGGAUGAACUGGAUCCGUCAGAAACCAGGACGAGGAUUAGAGUGGAUCGGAUACAUUGACAGUGGCACUGGCACAACAUUCGCUCAGUCUCUGCAGGGCCAGUUCUCCAUCACUAAAGACACCAAUAAAAACAUGCUGUACCUAGAAGUGAAGAGUCUGAAAGCUGAAGACACGGCUGUUUAUUACUGUGCACAAGAGUCACACUGACACAACAGACUCCAGAGCUGUACAAAAACUUACACAAGCACAUCCUCAUGAGCUGUAAAUAUUCCCUCAGCAGGAAACUGAACCCUAGAGACACAUUAUAAACAACAUCCAUGUAUUUUUGUGCUCAGUUUUAUUUCUCCUUUUGUCUUACUCCAUUAACAGUCAAAAUUCCUCUGUAAAAUUCUCAGCCUUUUCUUUUAUUAUAAGACAAACAUGAAAAUAACAGUAAGUAUACGCAAAGACAUUAAAUGAUAAAACAUUCAACUGCAUUACAUUU